rnacentral:lncRNA from 1 species
UGGAUUUCCCUCCCAGACCUCAUACCCACCCAGAUCGCGUACUGAUACCCCCUCUUCUCUUUUUGUUUAAUCAGCUUGUUGUUUUAGCAUUAUGAUAAAGAGAGAAAGAAACCAGACACGACGCAUCUCCAUUGAAUCUGUCUAAUCUCUCCUCUGAUUGAACGCAAACCGAAGGAAGAGGAACAUAAAUCGGAAGCAAUCCGAUUCUAGACCUUAAUCGGAGCUCUGAAAACCAAUUAAGGAAUGGCGUGAUUAAGGUUGACAUAUAGAAACACUGAAAGAUAAUCAAGCAAUUAGGUCAGCUUGGUUACAGCUAUUCGAACCAUGAUCAAGUUGACGCAUGAGAAAUUGAGAAGACAAAGUUCCGACUACACUCGCACAAUAUGCUAUAUAGAUCUGGCAGUGGGCAGCAAUCUGUUACUGGUUAUCCAGGAGUAAACGAUGCCAAUAGCUACCGGGUGGGUCAGCGAACUUAAAAAAGGUUAUUCAAGCUAUUUUCCACACGGUUUUCUGGUGCAUUUGGAGGUGUCACAACAAAGCAGUUUUUAAUCAAGGGCAAUGCUCGCUGCAGAAGAUUAUGGGAGAUGUAAAGGGGCUGUCAUUUUUGUUGAUUAAGGCACGUUGCAAACAGUCGAACUUAGAUUGGGAUAUUUGGGGUAGUUUUAAUUUUCAUAGAGUUGGGUGGUAGUUCUUGAAUGCAAUAUGUAUUGUAUUUGGUGUAAGCUAGUAACCUGCUGCUUUUAGGUUUGAUAAUAAAAUGAUUGGCUGUUAAAAAAGGAGCAUGGCUA